GUAGUCUCGCACAGAUGCAUAUCAAUAAGCGGAGGAAAAGAAACUAACAAGGAUUCCCUUAGUAACGGCGAGUGAAGCGGGAAGAGCUCAAAUUUGAAAUCUUCAAGGCUUUACCUUGGCGAAUUGUAGUUUAAAGAAGUGUUUUCUGUUGAAGUUUUGGUAAAAGUUCUUUGGAAUAGGACAUCAUAGAGGGUGAGAAUCCCGUAUUUGACCAUUAUUUUCAGCUGUGUGAUACACUUUCAAAGAGUCGGAUUGUUUGGGAAUGCAGUCCAAAAUGGGUGGUAAAUUUCAUCUAAAGCUAAAUAUUGGCGAGAGACCGAUAGCGAACAAGUACCGUGAGGGAAAGAUGAAAAGAACUUUGAAAAGAGAGUUAAACAGUACGUGAAAUUGUCAAAAGGGAAGCGUUUGACACCAGUGUUGUUUUCUCGAAAAUCAAUUAAAAAGAGUUAGAUUUUGUUGUGUAUUGACCUUAACAGCUUGCAUUUCAAUUUUCUUGCCUUUUUUAAUGCACUUUUCGUUUAACAAGUCAACAUCAGUUUCUUUUGUUGUAAAAAGGUCAUUGGAAGGUGGCUUUCCUUUCGGAGAAAGUGUUUAUAGCCUUUGACUCCUGCAAUCGGAGAGACUGAGGUCUGCAGCGUAGAUCCUUCGGGGUUAGAUACAUUUGUGCUAAGUUAUAGCUUUUUAUAGACAACUUGUUGACUAUGAUUAGUCUUGUAGCUUACUCGCUUAUGCUAUUUUACCUACGCUUAGGAUGUUGAAGAUGUAGCACAUCAU
rnacentral:rRNA from 1 species